UACAAACAAUCAUCGGUCAAAUUAAUACUCACUUUUGUAUAUUAUUAUUUAUAUUUGUUCGGAAAAUGAAUGCGAAAUACUCCAACCUGUAUGUUUUGAUGCCUUUGUGUAUGUUUUUUUUCUUUUUUAAUGUUUGAUCAAAUCAGGAAGUGGACACCGUACGUUGAACUUUUUAAAGUUGAAAUAUUUGAGCCCUCACUUCCAAGGGGCACUCGAACGUCUACGAAGAUAGUGUAAUAUAUGCGGUAACGUCAGUCGAAAUGUUUUUCGAAUCCAUCGGCGUCAUGUAUGAAUUGAUUUGUACGUGGAACGCGCACGGUGAUGAAUGUGCAUGUACACAAAGGUCGGUGGCACGAACGUGCGACGGAUCUGCACGAAACUCAGUCAAACGGUGGAGGGAGCCAAUCACAGACCUAGUUUGAUCCCAGGUGCCCGGAUGUUGCCGUGGAAAGCUCAUCUACGUCAUUGUUCACCGCCGGACACCAGCUUGGAAAUAAAGAAUGGCUUUACAAUCGCUACAAACGUGCUUUUAACAAUAUUCCAGCAAUGAACUAUGACCAUUGUUGACAGAUCCUCCGAAAAUUCUGACCACGAGUCAGUCGGUUGCAAGAGAUCCCCCUUCACCAGUGGAGACGGGAUGGACAGCAGCUGUUCCAGCAGCUGGGCAGUGGGUCCCACCCUACCCACUGACUCGCCGCGCCUGAAGGGUCCAGGGGGCUGCUUGGGCCCGACGCCUGGCGCCGUUGUCUACAAUAGCACGCCUCCCUCCGUGGACCGGCCCAAGGAGCAUGUGUUGUGCAGCGGCGAUGGCAUUGACAUGCCGCAGAAGGUCCUCUUCUCUCCCGAGCGUCUUAGCCUAAAGUGGAACCAGGUUCAUCGCAUAGGCGCCGGCCUGCAGAACAUGGGCAACACUUGUUUCCUCAACUCGGCCCUCCAGUGUCUCACCUACACGCCGCCAUUUGCCAACUACAUGCUGUCACGGGAACACUCGAAAACAUGUCACGAGCCAGGCUUCUGUAUGAUGUGCACCAUGCAAAACCACAUCAUUCAAGUUUUUGCCAACUCUGGGAACGUUAUUAAGCCAAUGGGUGUGCUGAACGAGCUCAAAAGAAUCGCGAAGCACUUCCGCUAUGGAAGCCAGGAGGAUGCCCAUGAAUUUAUUAGGUACACGGUGGAUGCUAUGCAAAAGUCCUGCUUGCCUGGAACCAAAUUGGACAGGCAAACGCAGGCGACCACUUUUAUUCAUCAGGUAUUUGGUGGUUACCUAAGGUCCAGAGUUAAAUGUUUAAACUGCAAAGCAGUCUCUGAUACAUUUGACCCUUUUCUGGACAUCACUCUAGAAAUCAAAAUGGCACCCAGCGUUUCGAAGGCUCUAGAGCAGUUUGUCAAGCCAGAGCAGCUGGAUGGCGAGAAUGCCUACAAGUGCUCCAAGUGCAAAAAAAUGGUCACAGCCUCAAAGAGAUUCACGAUCCAUCGCAGCUCCAACGUCCUCACCCUGUCGCUGAAACGCUUCGCCAACUUCAGCGGAGGAAAAAUCACAAAAGAUGUGAAAUAUCCCGAGUACCUGGACCUGCGGCCCUUCAUGUCGCAGUCGCAAGGAGAGCCACAACUCUACGGGCUGUUUGCUGUUCUGGUCCACUCUGGAUUCAGCUGCCACGCUGGACACUACUUCUGCUAUAUUAAGGCAAGCAAUGGUCAGUGGUUUCAGAUGAACGAUUCGUCCGUGACUGUAAGCGACAUUAGGUCUGUUCUUAACCAGCAGGCUUAUGUCCUCUUCUACAUCAAGUCCAGUGACGGAAAGAAAGAAGGGGACUAUGGUCACAUGACCCAUAACUCAACUGCACCCGGCCAGUCAUCACCUCGACCCGUUGUGAUUCCCCGCAUCAACACCACCGCCCAUCACAACAAUGGCGGCUUCAUCGGACCAACGCUGCCCCCGCACAUGAACAAGAAUUCUCUCCACAUGAAUGGGAACGGGUCUUUGAGGGAGGGUCCCAAGCCCAGCACCAGCAGCAGCAUUGCUGGAAAACCCAACCACGGCGCGGCCUCCUCUUCUUCCACGUCGCACUUGGCCAGCCAGCCUUCAGUGAUCCCAGAGCACGAGAAGCGCCUGAAGCUGUCCUUCUGCAUCGGCCAAGGCAAACCGAAUCGUCCGGCGGCGUCCUCCUCCUCGUCAUCGGCCAGCAGCUCCACCGCCACCUCGUCCUCGAGCUCUUUACCCUCCUCCUCCCAGUCUACCUCAGAGGCUCGCUUCGUCCCACGUCAGGUGAACCACGUCAACGGCACGCCGAGCAGUAACGGGGAGCACCAGGCCGGCUCGUCCUUCUUGGUGCCGUACGGCCAAGAGUUAUCGGAAGAGUCGGACCAAGAGAUCGGCGGGUCCCUGGAUAAUGGCUGCUCAGUGGAGAGUCACAUGAAUGGUAGCAAAAGAACAAGGGAGGACUUUGCCAAUGGCGACUCUGGGCCGCACCACAAUGGAAACGGUGUAAAUGGAAUUUCACACAGCUUAUCUAAAAACAUACAAAACGGACACCAUCAUGGACUUCAAAAAGUCAAUGGUCAUAAUAGUGUUGAAAAGCUCUCGGACAGUAGUGAGGGAAGUUUGUCAUCAGAGGGGAGUUUGACUGUGAAUGGAGUAGACACUGACCCCUGUCAACCAAGCAAAGAGUCGUUGUCAUCCCAGGCUAGUUCUGUUCAGAGGGUCCAACCCGCCGUCAGCGAAAGCCAGAAACUCUCCCCCGACGUAAGGGCGACACGAGUGGCCGAUCCCCCGCCUGAGAAAACGGCCUGCGAAACCCCAUCCGCUUCCACCAGCAAAAUUCAGUCCUCGGCAUCUAGCGAGUCCGCGUCCAUCAGUCCCCCAGCCACCUCGCCCGACUCUUCCCACAGCACCAGCGGCGCGUGCGCGGCUCUACCGAAGAGUCCCGAUGAAGUCACGAAUGCCCCACUGACCAACGGCUCAUCGGCAGCGGCCUCCAAAGGCCGUGCAGAGGUGAGAGAUCAUCUCCGGCCCAGUCCGCCUUCCAGAAGUUACGGAAGACAGUCAUCGCGGGAAAGGGGUCGGGACCGGUCGUACUCGUCUGACUGGAGCAGGGAGAGAGAGCGAAACUACAACAGGAGUCAGGAAAGGGACGCGACUCACUACAGACGGGACAACAGAGACCACCAUUACAACCCCCACCGCUCAUACAGGGACUAUUACUACCGGGACUGGGAGAGUGAACGUCGCUGGGACCGGACUCCCUACCACCCCAGGGAGCGGGACCGCGACCGCUGCUCACACCACUACCACUUUUAUCACCACCACCACCGAUCCAGGGAAGACCGCGAUUACCAGCGCAGGAGUUACGGCAACUCCUACCGCCACAAGUCUCACGGCCAAUGGAGGCGGGAUCAGGACAGCUGGGAAGUUCGCGGGAUGAGAGACGAUGGCAGGGAAAGAGACCACCACCACCACCUCUAUCGGGGGAUGUCGCCCAACAGGUCGCCGUAUCGGCAUCCUCAUCCGGGGUCGGAGGACCAGAAUCCUCGGCGGAGCGGCCGCUCUGUGAGCUCUGAGGAGCGGCAUAGCAAAAAACACAAAAAGAGCAAGAAGAAGAAAUCAAAGGAUACAGAGCGAAACCGUGAGAGUGGGAGCUCCGACUCAGACCGAGGCUAUGAAGAAAAAAAAAAGAAAAAGAGGCGGCACCAGAGCGAGCAACGCAGCCCGGACGGCGGCCACAAGAGCCGCAGCAGCGAAGAACGCCAGUGCCGAAAACGCCGUCACUCCAAGGAUGCCAAGCAAGACGAGGACAGCUGCUCACCGGGCAAACGCCGCCGGCUCGACUAUGACCACAAUGGCACUUCCCCCGCCGGACCUGCACACGGGCCAUUUCACAGUCACCUUAACGGAUACGCAGGAAACGGUUACAGCCAAACCAACGUUGUAUACCACUGAUGGUCCGGUGUGCCGAGAAGUACCAUGAAGCACUGAAAACCCCCUUGCCUAGACAUACAGCGGAGGAAUGAUUCAUUGAACUGUUGCUUCAUUGGGAGGGGGGGUUGUAUUUUUACCACAAGUCAAGUGUUUUUUAUAUAUAUAUAUAUAUAUAUAUAUAUAUAUAUAUAUAUAUAUAUAUAUAUAUAUAUAUAUAUAUAUAUAUAUAUAUAUAUAUAUAUAUAUAUAUAUAUAUAUAUAUAUAUAUAUAUAUAUAUAUAUAUAUAUAUAUAUAUUCACUUUUAAAGCAUUGAUUUUUUUUAGUUGCAGUAACGCUCCUACUCUCGUCGGACGCGAACGAUGACAAAUAUUAAUAUAUUCGUGUAUGGGACACACAAAAGCCUGGAGCUUAAAACAUCUCGACUGCUGCUCAGUGGAACUCAGGACUCAAACUCAUCAUCCACUCGCUUCACGUGAAAGGGAAACACAAGCGCUGCUGAAAACAAGUUUGGAAGGAGGCAGUGUAAUAUGGACGUCACACAAGGCGGACUUCUCGCGUGAUCACGCUUGACAUCACAAGCGCGAAGAGAAGCGGGCAGUCAACUGAGAAUGGCAGUUAACAGCUUCAAGCAAUUUUCUUAUCUUCAAAGAAUUGUUCUUGGAACGACCAAACCGCUGCUUGUUGUAAAGUGAGGUGAAAGCUUACAAUGAUGGUAACGUCUACAGCCAUGAUGUGCCAACACCGUUCGUCUAGGUCCAGGAGCAAAAUUUACAUUGACAAGGAAUUGCGCAAUGUCUUCUGGAGUGUGCUGAAGGAGGUCGUUCUCAAGUAAGAACUGGAUUCCCUGGAGGAGAGGAGGUGAACUCCCAUGAACCGUUUCAAGAGCAUCUGAACAAGAUGGAAAGGCAUCACCAAAUUCUAAAGAAUAAGCAGUCACAAGUCAUUGGAAGCAUGUGACCGUGUAAUUGCUCCAACCUCAGAAGCCACCAACUCCUUUCUUUAUAUGAGACACUUACUACGCUGAACUUUUCGGGCUGGGCUUCAAGAGCUUUGCUGGAACUAUUUCGGAAUAUCUACCUCUGUCAUUUUUGGAAUCGGCAACAUUUCUGCUCAACAGGUACGUUUUUGUUUUUCCAAUAAAGGUCACAUCCGUUUCUAUCGUGGGCUUGUUUACACUUCUAAUGCUAGUUUAGUUUUGCUAGCGCUGCAGAAGCGCUUGCAGCAUCUUUCCAAAUGGGUGAGUUUUGCUUUCAAAGUCUUGCCACGGCCAGAAAUUUGCCACCAUAUCCAGCAUCAGCAUGUGACUCACCUCACAGCUCCGUUACAUCUGAUCCAAUCGGAUCACAGAGAUGACUCAAGGCCUAUUGUUACCAUGCUGCGUUUUCUGAUCAGAUCAGAUAAACAUAGCUUUGUGACUCCAUGGGAACUCACCCCCCCCCAACCCUUUGAUGACUAACAAUCUGCAUGUGCAAAUAAAAAAAAAAUUCGAGUUGUUCAACCCUAGCUCCAGAGUAGUACUGUAUUCCACAUUUGCAUCGGUUAUUCAGGAAAACUACUCCUCCAAAGCAACAGCCUCAGCUGGGUUCAACCAUCUGUUUUAUGAGCUCAUGGAAUCGGGGGAAAUGCUUUGCAGGCAUGUACUGCAUCCCCGAUUGCGCUUUUGAAAUGUUGACUCCCCCCGCCCCCAAAUCAGGUGACUGCAGACUUCCUGCGCACCCCAAUAUACAAUUUGUGAACUUCUUGCAUCAUUUUACCAUCCUGGGAUUUGUUUUGUUUUGCAAGCCCCCUAAUGGGUUGGUGACAGAGCUCUUUCGCCUCCUUUUUAAUCACUCACUUUUGCUUCCAUUACUGGAACUUGAUUAUUUUUAGCGAUUUUACUACUCAGGCGGUGUCUACAUUGGUGUAAUCUAUACUCUUGUUAUUGGUUUAAAAUAAUAAAUCUGGCCUACAGUAUCCAAUACAGUAUUUUUGCAAAAUGAAUCCGAUCCUGCAGUCCCAGUUCUAAGCAGUAGGUGGCAGCAUUUGCCUGUCAUGGUUUGACCGGAUGUGCCUUGCAGGGAUUCUCCGGCUUCAUCUCCCCACAAAGUGCGGCUGGUUUUCCUUUUAAUCUCGACUCCAGUGUGUGUGUUUUUUUUUCUUCCUUGGGUGUUGCCUUCACUUUUCCAACUUUGGCUUGUCUGUCCAUCUCGUCUUGCCGUGUAAGCUUUGGGAGUGGGCCAAAUUACAAACAUCUCUUUCAUUAUCCAACUGUUUUCUAUUCAAGCGCUGUCACGUUCACGUUACCGUUUUUUAAA